UGACGGGUCUGGAUGAUGACAGGGGGGGAUGAGGUAUUUCCCACCCUAGGCUUAUACUCGAGUCAAUAACUUUUCCUGGGAUUUUGGGUUGAAAUUAGGGGUCUCGGCUUAUACUCGGGUCGGCUUAUACUCGAGUAUAUACGGUAUUUCAAAAACAGCUCAGCGUCUGUCCCCAGGUUGGGUGUGGUAUUACAACUUGGCUCCAAUCACUUUAAUGGAACUGAGCUAAAGAGCCGCAACCACACCUGGAGACACAGGGAGCGGUUUUUGAAUAACCCCCUUUAAUAUAUUAUCAGAAAUGUAUGUAAAAAAAAAAGAGAAGUUUUAAGGGCCCAUGCACACUACAGAAUAUCUGCAAUGAAUCGUUGCAAUAACUGCGCCGCCUACUUUCACAGCAAUGCAGUUCCACGCAGUAUUCUGCCGAAAGGAUGAACAUGAUCAUUCCUUCUACGGCUUCCAGAAGUGCCACAAAAUCCCAGUGAAGACAAUGAAAGGCUGCUACACCUGAAUCUCUGUCCAAAUUUUUCCAGAAACUCUGAUUCUUAACCCAAACCUUCAGUCCUGGGACAGUUGCUACAAGAGAUCGGAAACAAAAUAAAAAGAAAUAAAAGAAAGCAAUGUCUUUGUUCUGCCUGGAUAUGAAUACUCCACAUGGGAAAGAAGUAACAAUAUAUAGAAUUUCAAAAUAAAUCUUUGUAUAGUACUUUACAAGAGAACCAGCUGCUGGCACACAAUCUGGACUAGAUUCAUGUAUCACACACUAAGGGCGGCUUGGAGCCUGCCGAAUAGGAUUGAAGCGGACGAAGGAUCUACAUUAGAGAUUGUGAGACACAUUCGUUUGAAGAGUGUGAGUGGUUUGUAAAAAAAACACUCACCAAGUCUCUCUUUAGUCAUGAAGCGUCUAAGAACUCCCCAUCUGCAUAUGCAUUUCUUCCCCUGUUUUUUGAGUCUGUUUAGAAGAUGUCGAUCUUCUCCUGAACCACCUGAUGCACCUCCUAAAGGGAAGCUACGUCUUCGCUCACUUCCUGGAGUUUUUGUAUUUGUAGGUAUAUUUCUAGUACUAAUAGGCCUAACCGUGGCCGUUAUUGGCUACUGGCCUCACAAAUCCAACAGCCAAUCAGUAGAAAAACUAAAGCUGAUUGGUCCCGUCAUAAUGGGAUUUGGACUAUUUGUCUUCAUAUGUGCUAACACACUUCUGUAUGAAAACCGGGAUAUGGAAACAAGAAGGCUCCUCCAAAUCAGCGCAGUCACCCAGGGACAUGCUGACAUGGCUUUAUCUGCUAAUAGUGGGGUAAAAGUUCAAACCCAGAAUACAUGGAGUGACAGUUCUGGAGAACUGGACAACAGGAGAAAUAUAUUAAUCAGGGCACAGCUUUUGUGUCCACCCAUUAAUGACCUCUCUCUUUCUCUUGUAAGCAUACACUCUGAUCCUUGUAUUUCAUCCUUACCAACAAUGGGGGAGAGAGUCAAACUCAAAGAAGCAGCAGAGAGGUGCUACAGCUCUGAUGUCAAGUUAAAUAUGAGUAUGAGACCAGUAAAAGAAGGCAUCUUGGAGGUUCCUCAUAGAGGUCAAAAGUGUCGUAGUUGGCCAAGACUGGAAAUUGUUGAUGAUGGUUGUGCAAAAUUACAUGAAGCCUCAGGGGAAGUGUUAAAGGAGAGCAGGGAGAGUAGCCAGGAGACUGUACCUGAAGUGGCAUAAAAUGUCACAAUACAGGAAGUGAUGAAGACCCUGGACUAUAUCCCUUUACAUCUUAUAUGAGCUACCCCUGUUUAUCAUGGCAAAAGUUAACCACUGAAUGAAACAAUUGAAUGGGCAUGCAAAAUGUUCAUGGGUACAUGCAGGCAGGGCAGUUGUAACACAUUGUUGAGCCCAGUGCAAAGUUUUUAUUAGUGCUGCAAAAUUCUGAGCUUUUCUAUGAGGCAAUUUUAGACACAUUAGAGUCCUAUUACUAGUAGUGUUUCCUAUUGUGCUUAAACCCAAUAAAACACAAACUAUUUCAACAGACACGUUUUCCAAUACAUUUUCCAAAUGUGUUUUAUGUGUCUUGAUCAAUGAUAAUGAUUUAUAUUGUUGAAUAACACGUGUUUUUGAUUGCAAACGCUACAUGUAAUAGUGCCCUCAUUUGGAAAGGUUUGAACUCACAGAUGUUGUUUUCUUUUCUUUCCCACCUGGCCCAGACCACCAGGAUUUUUCAAGCCAUGACUUGUUUUUUUCAGAAUUGCCAAACAAACAUCUUAAACUACUCACUUUUACAACAGCUUCCCCACCUCUAUACAAACUCCCCAUCUAUAGGGGCCCAAAUAGUAAUAAUUCCCC